rnacentral:rRNA from 1 species
UACAUGUGGGGCAAGCGUUGUUCGGAAUUACUGGGCAUAAAGGGUGCGUAGGCGGCUUGCUAAGUCAGUGGUGAAAUCGUCCGGCCCAACCGGACACGUGCCAAUGAUACUGGCGAGCUCGAGUGCGUGAGGGGUGGGGGGAACGAGCAGUGUAGCGGUGAAAUGCGUAGAUAUUGCUCGGAAGGCCAAAGCCGAAGGGACCCCACUGGUACGUAACUGACGCUGAGGCACGAAAGCGUGGGGAGCAAACGGG